AUGGGAGCCGUCGCUGGAGCCGACCGCAUCGCGGGGGCCGGAGACCCUACGCAACAACGAUCGGUCGGUGUCGUUCGGUCGAUUCCUGUCCGAGCCACUCGAGUGUACCACGGUGACGACCUUGCCGGCACGGGCGGCCACCAUAGGACAUUUCCAGGCGCCGCCGCCAACCACGCUCAAUCUAGAGUUACAAGUCAAUUUCUCAGCGCCAGCCACGGAGGUUGGAGCUCAUUCCGCAUCUUCCAGCAGCGGUGCUGA
rnacentral:rRNA from 1 species